CUUGGGGGCAGGGGUCCCUCAGCCCAGAUUGUGAGAGGGCGCAGGCCAAACUGAGGGACCCCACUGGUGCAUG
rnacentral:pre_miRNA from 1 species